UACGUAGGGGGCAAGCGUUGUCCGGAUUUAUUGGGCGUAAAGAGCGUGUAGGCGGUUUGGUAGGUCCGCUGUGAAAACUCGAGGCUCAACCUCGAGACGCCGGUGGAAACCAUCAGACUAGAGUCCGGAAGAGGAGAGUGGAAUUCCUGGUGUAGCGGUGAAAUGACGCAGAUAUCAGGAAGAACACCCGUGGCGUAAGGCGGCUCUCUGGACGGUACUGACGCUGAGACGCGAAAGCGUGGGGAGCGAACAGGAUUAGAACC
rnacentral:rRNA from 1 species